rnacentral:sRNA from 1 species
GCCGGGCGCCGUGGCGCACGCCUGUAAUAACCAGCUACUUGGGAGGCUGAGUCAGGAGGAUCGCAAGUUCCAAACCAGCCUCAGCAAUGGCAAGGCGCUAAGCAACUCAGGGAGACCCUGUCUCUA